AAAAAGAUCAAUGAUUUGAAAGAUAAACAGAAAACCUUGGAAGAUGAACUAUCCCAAGAUGCAUUGCAGGUCGAAGAGGAAGAGGAGGAGGAAAAGGAAAAUGAAAAUACAACACUAGACAAUGGAAUUGAAGAGAAAAUGGAAGUGGAAACUCCACCACCAGAACCAAAGGAGAAAGCCUUAAUUGAAAGAAUUUAUGAAGAAAAUAGGAAAAAAGCAGCGGCUGCUCAUGAAAGAUUUGCAAAAAUUGGAAUACCUUUGCCGACUGCUCUGCCGUUAUACAAUCAGCCAUCUGAUUUGCCUUUU